GUACUGAUGAAGAGUCCCAAACUAGGACGAAACAGAUGUACAGUAC
rnacentral:hammerhead_ribozyme from 1 species